CAGUUGAUUAGUUAAUUAGGUUAAUUGAUUUAUAAAUUUAAUUUUGAAAUAAUGAGUUAUUUAUAUAAUAAUUAUUUUUGUAGAGAUUUGAUUUAAAAAUGAAUGAAAGUUUGAUUUAGUAAUUGAAUUUAAUAAAGGUAAAUUUAGUGCCAGCAACAGCGGUUAUACUUAUUUUGUGAAUUAAUUUAUUUAAUUUUUGAAUUAGUGAAUUAUUAUUAGGAUUUAAUUGUAUUAAUUGGAAAUUUAGUGAAAUAUUUUUUGUUUUUAUGUUAAAUUUUAUUUAUCUAAUAUUUAUUAAAUUUUAGAUAAAACUAGGAUUAGAUACCCUAUUAUAAAAAUGAUUUAAGUUGAAUUGAUUAUUAAAUGUAAAUCAUUAAAAUUAACAGAUAUGGCGGCUCUAUAAUUUAUUUAGAGGAAUUUGUAUUUUAAUUGAUAACCCACGAUAGGAUUAACUAUAAAUUUCUUUGUGUAUUGCUGUUUGAAGAAUUUAUUUUUAUGUUAUUUUUAUAAUAUUUGAUUUAAAUAUUAAUUCAAGUCAAAAUGCAGGAUUUUAUAGGUUGUAUGAAUUACAAUAAAUUUAAUUUCUGGAUAAAUUGUUUUAAUAUGAUUUUAAAAUUGGAUUUAAAAGUAAAUUUAUUGAAUUAAGUUGGUUGAAGAUAACNUUUAUUUAGUGUACAAAUUGCCCGUCAUUCUCAUUAUAAGUGAGGAAAGUCGUAACAUAGUAAAUGUACUGGAAAGUGUAUUUUAUGAAAA
rnacentral:ncRNA from 1 species